UGUAUGUGUGUUUGUGUAUGUGUGUUAGUGUAUAACACACAUACACAAACACACAUACACAAACACACAUACACU